UACGAAGGUGGCAAGCGUUACUCGGAAUUACUAGGCGUAAAGGGCAGGUAGGCGGUUUGAUAAGUCUGUUGUGAAAGCUCCCGGCUUAACUGGGAGAGGUCAACAGAUACUGUCGAACUUGAGUAUGGGAGAGGGUACUGGAAUUCCUGGUGUAGCGGUGAAAUGCGCAGAGAUCAGGAGGAACACCCGAUGGCGAAAAGCAGGUAGCCCUGGACCGAUUACUGACGCUCGAGCUGACGAAAGCCUAGGGGAGCAAACAGG
rnacentral:rRNA from 1 species